rnacentral:tRNA from 1 species
GAGAUUAGACAUGAACUGCUAAAUCAUACCCCCGAACUUAAACUUUCGGAACUCUC